AUGGGGGCGAAGUUCCCGGUAAAGGAUGGCUGCUCAGCGCGUUUUUGGACGGACCUAUGGAUUGGUGACCAACCUCUUUGGUCCCGUUUCAGACAGCUGUUUAACAUUGCGCUUGAACCUCACAUUUUUGUGGCGCAAGCUUUGGCCGAGCCCCCUCCUGCGCUGCAGUUUCGGCGGGAACUCACUGGCCCGGAGACGGCAAGUUUGGGAAACUUGCUGACUCUUCUGGAGGGCGUUGCCCUUUCGCAAGGCCCGGACGUGGUGUCUUGGCGCCUCAAUGCCUCCGGCAAGUUCUCAGUAAACUCCCUUUACCGAGCUCUCCCUAGGGGUACCCAGCAGCAAGUUGCGGCCGGGCUUUGGAAGGCUAGGCUGCCUCUGAAAAUCAAGAUUUUCUUUUGGCAAUUGUGUCGUGACAAGCUCCCCACAUCGGUAAAUAUUGCCAAACGCAACGGACCGUCUAACGGGUCUUGCGCGGUAUGUGGUGAGCCCGAAACUGCUAACCACGUGUUCUUCCAAUGCCACUUGGCCCGGUUUGCAUGGAGUGUGGUCCGAGAGGCCGCUGGCCGGGAUUGGGAUCCUAGGUCAUGUUCUGAGAUGUGUGCUUUGCUGUCGUCAGUAUCUGGUUCCGCCAGACGUGUCAUGUGGUGCUGUGUGGGGGCAUUACUUUGGGCACUUUGGCACAUUAGGAACAAACUUACGAUCGAGGGAGUGUUUCCCUCACACCCGGCUGAUGUUAUCUUCAAAUGUGUCAUCUUUUUGCAGCAGUGGGCACCGCUGGGAAGGCGCCAAGACGCUGAUCUGUUGUAG
rnacentral:rRNA from 1 species